AAUCUCCCUUAGGUAGCCUGUCUCAUCCUUGUUGGAGAUCAGGUGCACCACAACAGUGUCUGCAGCAAACUUGAUGAUGGUGGUGGAGUUGGAAGUGACCACACAUUUGUAUGUGUACAGUGAGUACAUUAGGGGGCUCAGAACACAACCCUGAGGAGGUCCAGUGCUGAGGAAUUGCAAAAGCUCCAUCAGCAUGACCAUCAGGUUCUCUGUCUCCUCCAUCUUCACCGAGACCCUUCUGCCAUCAGAUGUUCAGCUUAAGAAAAAGUUCGGAAUUCAGGACCCUGCUGUGCUCCUAAAGAGCUUCAAUACAACAGAGACAUUCAUGCACCUGAGAUCAAUGUUAUAGUACAGCAGAAACUAAAUAUUUAUGUCACUGUGA